rnacentral:rRNA from 1 species
CAGGAUGAACGCUGGCGGCGUGCUUAACACAUGCAAGUCGAACGAAGCACUGGAAGCAGAUCUUUCGGAGUGAAGCAUCCUUGACUUAGUGGCGGACGGGUGAGUAACGCGUGGGCAACCUGCCUUUUACCGGGGGACAACAGUUGGAAACGACUGCUAAUACCGCAUAAGCGCACGGCACCGCAUGGUGCAGUGUGAAAAACUCCGGUGGUAAAAAGAUGGGCCCGCGUUGGAUUAGGUAGUUGGUGAGGUAACGGCCCACCAAGCCGACGAUCCAUAGCCGACCUGAGAGGGUGACCGGCCACAUUGGGACUGAGACACGGCCCAAACUCCUACGGGAGGCAGCAGUGGGGAAUAUUGCACAAUGGGGGAAACCCUGAUGCAGCCGACGCCGCGUGAGUGAAGAAGUAUUUCGGUAUGUAAAGCUCUAUCAGCAGGGAAGAAAAUGACGGUACCUGCACAAGAAGCCCCGGCUAACUACGUGCCAGCAGCUGC